UACGUAGGGUGCGAGCGUUGUCCGGAAUUUAUUGGGGCGUAAAGAGCUUGUAGGCGGUUUGUCGCGUCUGCCGUGAAAAUCCGGGGCUCAACCCCGGACUUGCGGUGGGUACGGGCAGACUAGAGUGUGGUAGGGGAGACUGGAAUUCCUGGUGUAGCGGUGAAAUGCGCAGAUAUCAGGAGGAACACCGAUGGCGAAGGCAGGUCUCUGGGCAAUUCCUGACGCUGAGGCGCGAAAGCGUGGGGAGCAAACAGG
rnacentral:rRNA from 1 species